rnacentral:rRNA from 1 species
GACGAACGCUGGCGGCGUGCUUAACACAUGCAAGUCGAACGGAAAGGCCUGCUUUCCCUUGUGGAUUGCGGGUACUCGAGUGGCGAACGGGUGAGUAACACGUGAGUGAUCUGCCCCCAACUUGGGUAUAAGCCUGGGAAACUGGGUCUAAUUCCCGAUAGGACUGCAGGGUGGUGCCUGUGGUGGAAAACGAUUUUCUAGUGGUUGGGGAUGAGCUCGCGGCCUAUCAGCUUGUUGGUGGGGUAAUGGCCUACCAAGGCGGCGACGGGUAGCCGGCCUGAGAGGGUGGACGGCCACAGUGGGACUGAGAUACGGCCCAGACUCCUACGGGAGGCAGCAGUGGGGAAUAUUGCACAAUGGGCGGAAGCCUGAUGCAGCGACGCCGCGUGGGGGAUGACGGCCUUCGAGUUGUAAACUCCUUUCGACCGCGAGGAAGCCACCUGGUUGGAAGGGUGGUGACGGUAGUGGUAGAAGAAGCACCGGCUAACUACGUG